rnacentral:rRNA from 1 species
AGUUUGAUCCUGGCUCAGAUUGAACGCUGGCGGCAUGCCUUACACAUGCAAGUCGAACGGCAGCACGGGAGCAAUCCUGGUGGCGAGUGGCGAACGGGUGAGUAAUAUAUCGGAACGUGCCCAGUCGUGGGGGAUAACGCAGCGAAAGCUGUGCUAAUACCGCAUACGAUCUCUGGAUGAAAGCGGGGGACUCGUAAGAGCCUCGCGCGAUUGGAGCGGCCGAUAUCAGAUUAGCUAGUUGGUGGGGUAAAGGCCCACCGAGGCGACGAUCUGUAGCUGGUCUGAGAGGACGACCAGCCACACUGGAACUGAGACACGGUCCAGACUCCUACGGGAGGCAGCAGUGGGGAAUUUUGGACAAUGGGCGCAAGCCUGAUCCAGCAAUGCCGCGUGCAGGAUGAAGGCCUUCGGGUUGUAAACUGCUUUUGUACGGAACGAAAAGGUCUGCCUUAAUACGGUGGGCCCAUGACGGUACCGUAAGAAUAAGCACCGGCUAACUACGUGCCAGCAGCCGCGGUAAUACGUAGGGUGCGAGCGUUAAUCGGAAUUACUGGGCGUAAAGCGUGCGCAGGCGGUUAUAUAAGACAGAUGUGAAAUCCCCGGGCUCAACCUGNGACCUGCAUUUGUGACUGUAUAGCUAGAGUACGGUAG